rnacentral:lncRNA from 1 species
UCAGUCAUGUAGGCGUUUAUACGUAUAAUAAUACUGGUAAAUUACUAGUUUCUUCUUAAUUAAUUAGCUUGUGAUGAGGUUUUAAUACAAGUCUUCUCUGCCAUCCUCUGUCAAUAUUCUCUUUGCACUAGUUGUACUUAUAUAUGUUCAUAUCAUUACUAAGUCAAUUAAUCAGAUAGGGAAAUCGAUAUGAAGUUGGUGUGUUAAGAGCUGGUAUGGCACAUGGAAUUUUAAGUAAAUAAAUUGAGUUUAGGUUUCAAUGUUUCAUCAUAUACUUCAUCACAGAUAUACAAUGACUAACAAAUGGAGCUUAUGUCACUCCUGAUGACGAUGAAUGAGAUUCAGUUCCACCACUAACAAAACACUAGCUUCUACAAGUAUAUAAAGACCAAUGAACAUGAUAUC